UACGUAGGGUGCAAGCGUUGUCCGGGAAUUAUUGGGCGUAAAGAGCUCGUAGGCGGUUCGUCGCGUCGGCUGUGAAAACCCCGGGAGCUCAACUCCGGGGCCUUGCAGUCGGAUACGGGGCGGGACUUGAGUGUUGCAGGGGGAGACUGGAAUUCCUGGGUGUGCGGUGAAAUGCGCGAUAUCAGGAGGAACACCGGGUGGCGAAAGGGCGGGUCUCUGGGGCAACUACUGACGCUGAGGAGCGAAAGCGUGGGGAGCGAACGG
rnacentral:rRNA from 1 species